UUACGGCCAUAUCCGGUUGUAACACCGCUUCUCACAAGAUCACCGAAGUUAUGCAAUGUCCAGCCUGUUCAGUUCCUAAAUGGGUGACUGCUUAGGAAUACCAGGUGCUGUAAG